CGUGAAAUUGUUGAAAGGGACGCGCUUGCAAUCAGACUUGCACUUGGUGUUCAUCAGGGUCUCGUACCCUGUGUACUUCAUCAAGUUCAGGCCAGCAUCAGUUUGAGUGGUUAGAUAAAGGCUUAGAGAAUGUGGCCCUCUUCGGGGGGUGUUAUAGCUCUAGGUGCAAUGUAGCCUACUUGGACUGAGGACCGCGCUUCGGCUAGGAUGCUGGCGUAAUGGUUGUAAGCGACCCGUCUUGAAACACGG
rnacentral:rRNA from 1 species